GGGGCAGUAGCUCAGAUGGUUAGAGCAACAGAUACUUUCCGCAAUUGGCACAGAAAGUUCCUGUAAAUUGUGUGUCGCAGGUUCGAGUCCUGCCUGCCCCU
rnacentral:tRNA from 1 species